rnacentral:lncRNA from 1 species
AGACAGAGACAGAGAGAGACAGAGAGAGAGACAGAGAGAGACAAACACUCAACAACAGGGUGCAAAUUAAAAGUGGAAGCUGCUGUGAAGAUUUGGAGGAAGUUCUUCACACACACACACACACACACACACACACACACACACACACACACACACACACACACACACACACUCCUCAUGGUGAAGUAGCUAACAGCAUUUUGUGAAAGAGGUGUAAGAGGAGGAGGAGAGAGGAGGAGGAGGAGAGAGGAGGAGAGAGGAGAGAGGAGGAGAGAGGAGAGAGGAGAGAGGAGGAGAGAGGAGCGAGGAGAGAGGAGGAGGAGGAGAGAGGAGGAGGAGGAGACAGGAGAGAGGAGGAAAGAGGAGAGGAGCAUUGAGAAAGUUAUCCCCUCCGGAAGAAGAAGAAGUUUCCUCUGACGUCAUUGACUAGGAAACAGCGGUGAAUCAACCAGUGUGCCCAGUGGCCCACCUCCCCCUCCCAGUGUCAUUGAUGGCCAACUGGCAUACAGGGUGAGACGUCUCCUGGGUGUUCGACCAAGGAGCAGGGGUUUCCAGUACUUGGUUGACUAGGAGGGUUACGGCCCGAAGGAGAGGUGCUGGGUUCCUGCUAAGAGACAUCCUGGAUCCAGCCCUCAUCACCUCCUUCCACGACCGACACCCCAGUCAACAAGUUCGUCUUGUAUGUUCCAAGUCAACCAGCUGUUUUUCCCGUGC